AUACAUGGCUCGGUGCCUCGGCAAUCGAACAACGAUUCUUUGAUUUGAUUUCUUUCCUAUACUGUAACGUGGUUUGUUUUUAUCCUAAGCUUUUCUCCUUUUGGAGUUUUGGGCGGCCAAAAUGACUCGUGGUAACCAACGGGAACUAGCUAGACAAAAGGCAGCCAAAAAGGCUGAAAAGAAAACUGGUUCUGACCAUACAGCAAAUAAAGGUGUGAAGUUAAAUGACCGAAAACAAAGGGAUGCUGAUGCAAUGAGGCUGAAACAACAAAAAGCAGAAGAGAAAAAAGCAGCAGCAGCAGAAGGAGGAACAGAAAAGAAAUAACAAAGGAUUUAUAGUAUCUUGACUGGACUCUCAUUGAAAAACACUGUUUAGUUGUAUUAGUAGAUAAGCAUUUUUUUGUAGAAUUUGCUCACACACUUAAUACUUUAAAUAGUAACAUGCAAUGUGCUUGAUGCUUGAUGCUAAAAAAUUAUCUUUAUAAUAUUACUUUGUUUAUGAAUCCUGUAGCAUUGAUUUCAUAUCAUUAUUUUGUCUACCAUAUAUUUUUAUUCUGUGCUAAAAAUUGCUUGUGCACUUCAAAAAAUUAUAGUGGUUACAUCAGAGAGCUUUGAAUACAAAAACUUAGUUUUGGUAAUGUUCAAACACUAUUCUGAUUUUGCUCCCAUAAAAAAGCUUAAGUCUUUAAAUCUGCUUUGGAGAUUUUUUGAACAUAUAUUAUGACGAUUUUCAUUGAAAAUGCCGGGGACCUUUAAUUCCUUUUGUAAAAGGGAAAAAUGAACCAGUUUGAAAAAUUGAAUUUCAAAAUAAAAGUGCUCAAGUCUGGAAAGAACAUUAGCUUUCAAAAUAAUGUGCUCUGGAUCAUUGUACAGCUCUAAUAAAGAUUUCCACAUACCUUCUUA